GAUGAACGCUGGCGGCGUGCCUAAUACAUGCAAGUCGAGCGAACAGACGAGGAGCUUGCUCCUCUGACGUUAGCGGCGGACGGGUGAGUAACACGUGGAUAACCUACCUAUAAGACUGGGAUAACUUCGGGAAACCGGAGCUAAUACCGGAUAAUAUAUUGAACCGCAUGGUUCAAUAGUGAAAGACGGUUUUGCUGUCACUUAUAGAUGGAUCCGCGCCGCAUUAGCUAGUUGGUAAGGUAACGGCUUACCAAGGCGACGAUGCGUAGCCGACCUGAGAGGGUGAUCGGCCACACUGGAACUGAGACACGGUCCAGACUCCUACGGGAGGCAGCAGUAGGGAAUCUUCCGCAAUGGGCGAAAGCUUGACGGAGCAACGCCGCGUGAGUGUUGAAGGUCUUCGGAUCGUAAAACUCUGUUAUUAGGGAAGAACAAAUGUGUAAGUAACUAUGCACGUCUUGACGGUACCUAAUCAGAAAGCCACGGCUAACUACGUG
rnacentral:rRNA from 1 species